rnacentral:lncRNA from 1 species
AACGGAAGCGCUAGGUUAGCAAAACGCUAAACCUAAUUGAUAAAGACAAGCCGCAAGCACAAACUUGUCAAGAUAGGGUUUCGGAGUCCACCGAAAAUUGAGAUAAAACUCGAAUAUUUUAUUGAAUAAAAAACUGCUCCUCAAGGCUACAAUGGUUUAGUUUAAAUAGUAAGGGAAAUAAUAAAAAUAGUAAAUCUAGAAUAAUAAAAA